rnacentral:rRNA from 1 species
AUUGAACGCUGGCGGCAUGCCUUACACAUGCAAGUCGAACGGUAACAGGUCUUCGGAUGCUGACGAGUGGCGAACGGGUGAGUAAUACAUCGGAACGUGCCUAGUAGUGGGGGAUAACUACUCGAAAGAGUGGCUAAUACCGCAUGAGAUCUACGGAUGAAAGCAGGGGAUCGCAAGACCUUGUGCUACUAGAGCGGCCGAUGGCAGAUUAGGUAGUUGGUGGGAUAAAAGCUUACCAAGCCGACGAUCUGUAGCUGGUCUGAGAGGACGAUCAGCCAGACUGGGACUGAGACACGGCCCAGACUCCUACGGGGGGAAGCAGUGGGGAAUUUUGGACAAUGGGCGCAAGCCUGAUCCAGCAAUGCCGCGUGCAGGAUGAAGGCCUUCGGGUUGUAAACUGCUUCUGUACGGAACGAAAAGCCCCGGGUUAAUACCCUGGGGUCAUGACGGUACCGUAAGAAUAAGCACCGGCUAACUACGUGCCAGCAGCCGCCGCGG